rnacentral:rRNA from 1 species
AGAGUUCACAUCGACGGGGAGGUUUGGCACCUCGAUGUCGGCUCAUCGCAUCCUGGGGCUGUAGUCGGUCCCAAGGGUUGGGCUGUUCGCCCAUUAAAGCGGUACGCGAGCUGGGUUCAGAACGUCGUGAGACAGUUCGGUCCCUAUCCGUCGUGGGCGUAGGAAAUUUGAGAGGAGCUGUCCUUAGUACGAGAGGACCGGGAUGGACAUACCUCUGGUGUACCAGUUGUCGUGCCAACGGCAUAGCUGGGUAGCUAUGUAUGGACGGGAUAAGUGCUGAAAGCAUCUAAGCAUGAAGCCCCCCUCAAGAUGAGAUUUCCCAACUUCGGUUAUAAGAUCCCUCAGAGAUGAUGAGGUUAAUAGGUUCGAGGUGGAAGCGUGGUGACACGUGGAGCUGACGAAUACUAAUCGAUCGAAGACUUAAUCAAUUU